CGGAGGGCGGAGCGGGCCAAGAUGGCGGCGGAGCCGGGCCCGGGCCCGGGGCACGACCCGGAGCUGGAGGAGCUGCUGGAGAGUGAGGGGGGACCGGGGGUCUUUGGGGUGCCCUGGAUGACUUCGAGCACAGCCGCCCCCCUCCCCCUCCCAGCUCCUCCUCUCCCCCCAACUCCGCCAAGGGCUCGCUGUUCUCCCAGCAGGAGAGGUUCUUCCAGGAGCUCUUCGAGGGCGAGCUGGCGGCGCAGGCGGCCACCGAGUUCCAGGAGGCCAUGCAGGAGCUGGCCCGGCAGGAGCCGCAGCUCGUGGAGCAGUUCCAGAAGCUCUCGGAAGCUGCCGGGAAAGUUGGU